rnacentral:sRNA from 2 species
GAAAUAGAUGACUAGGGUUCCGGCUUACGAAAGUAAGUGACUGGUCCGAGAGUCAUCGACCUCCGACGAGGUUACACGGCGGGACAAAAGCCCGGGAGAA